CGGGAUCUGCCCGGCGCGUUAGGAACACAUACUCUCGGGGCCUUACGGUCCUCAAGGGAGCUGUCCCUGAGGGAGACUGUGGUCUUCUUCACACGGCGCCCACCUACGUUAGUAGGUCUCCGGGGAACGAAGUUCCGACGGCCGUGGCGGACCCACU
rnacentral:other from 1 species